rnacentral:rRNA from 1 species
UACGUAGGGACCAAGCGUUGUUCGGAUUUACUGGGCGUAAAGGGCUCGUAGGCGGCCAACUAAGUCAGACGUGAAAUCCCUCGGCUUAACCGGGGAACUGCGUCUGAUACUGGAUGGCUGGAGUUUGGGAGAGGGAUGUGGAAUUCCAGGUGUAGCGGUGAAAUGCGUAGAUAUCUGGAGGAACACCGGUGGCGAAGGCGACAUCCUGGACCGGUAUUGACGCUGAGGCGCGAAAGCCAGGGGAGCAAACGGG